AAAGCCGGAUUAAUACCGCAUACGAUCUACGGAUGAAAGCGGGGGAUCGCAAGACCUCGCGCUAUAGGGGCGGCCGAUGGCGGAUUAGCUAGUUGGUGGGGUAAAGGCCCACCAAGGCGACGAUCCGUAGCUGGUCUGAGAGGACGACCAGCCACACUGGGACUGAGACACGGCCCAGACUCCUACGGGAGGCAGCAGUGGGGAAUUUUGGACAAUGGGCGCAAGCCUGAUCCAGCAAUGCCGCGUGUGUGAAGAAGGCCUUCGGGUUGUAAAGCACUUUUGUCCGGAAAGAAAUCCUCUGGGUUAAUACCCCGGGGGGAUGACGGUACCGGAAGAAUAAGCACCGGCUAACUACGUGCCAGCAGCCGCGGUAAUACGUAGGGUGCGAGCGUUAAUCGGAAUUACUGGGCGUAAAGCGUGCGCAGGCGGUGAUGU
rnacentral:rRNA from 9 species